rnacentral:rRNA from 1 species
ACAUUCGGCCAUACUAAGUCGACAUGUACCCGAUCCCAUCCCGAACUCGGAAGUCAAGUCGCUUCAGGCCGGGUUAGUACUGAGGUGAGGGAUCACUCGGGAAUCCCCGGUGCCGAAUGU